rnacentral:rRNA from 1 species
UUAUUUGAAACAGGAUACAACCUCCACCACCGGGUAAACAAGGGUAGUUAAAACUAAGUGGGCCUAAAAGCAGCCACCUUCCAAAAAGCGUCAAAGCUUGUCUACUCCAACCCACAAUUUCUAAAAUACUCCCUAACCCUUCAUUCCUACUGACCCCUUUUAUAUUAUUAUAAAAAUAAUUAUGCUAGAACUAGUAACAAGAAGUUGCCCUUCUCCAUAAUGUAAGUAUAAACCAAAACGGACCUUCCAUUGGUAAUUAACGUAAAUGUAAACCCCAUAAUAACAUAACCAGAAAACCUUAUGGCCCCACACGUUACUCUAACACUAGAACAUUACAGGAAAGAUUAAAAGAGAAAGAAGGAACUCGGCAAAUUUUAACCCCGCCUGUUUACCAAAAACAUCGCCUCUUGAUCAAACAUAAGAGGUCCAGCCUGCCCAGUGACAAAAUUCAACGGCCGCGGUACACUAACCGUGCGAAGGUAGCAUAAUCAUUUGUUCUUUAAAUAAGGACUAGUAUCAACGGCAUCACGAGGGUUAUACUGUCUCCUAUCUCUAAUCAGUGAAACUGAUCCCCCCGUGAAGAAGCGGGGAUUUAGCU